rnacentral:misc_RNA from 1 species
AAGUCGUAACAAGGUUUCCGUAGGUGAACCUGCGGAAGGAUCAUUAACUAUUAUGAUAUUUUCCUUUGUGAAUCGAGCCUCUGGGCUUUUAUAUACAUUAGUCGGGAUUAACAUUAAAAAAAAUACAAUUUUUAACAAUGGAUCUCUAGGCUCUU